rnacentral:rRNA from 1 species
UCACCAAGGCGACGAUCAGUAGCUGGUCUGAGAGGAUGAUCAGCCACAUUGGGACUGAGACACGGCCCAAACUCCUACGGGAGGCAGCAGUGGGGAAUCUUGCGCAAUGGGCGAAAGCCUGACGCAGCCAUGCCGCGUGAAUGAUGAAGGUCUUAGGAUUGUAAAAUUCUUUCACCGGGGACGAUAAUGACGGUACCCGGAGAAGAAGCCCCGGCUAACUUCGUGCCAGCAGCCGCGGUAAUACGAAGGGGGCUAGCGUUGCUCGGAAUUACUGGGCGUAAAGGGAGCGUAGGCGGACAUUUAAGUCAGGGGUGAAAUCCCGGGGCUCAACCUCGGAAUUGCCUUUGAUACUGGGUGUCUUGAGUAUGAGAGAGGUGUGUGGAACUCCGAGUGUAGAGGUGAAAUUCGUAGAUAUUCGGAAGAACACCAGUGGCGAAGGCGACACACUGGCUCAUUACUGACGCUGAGGCUCGAAAGCGUGGGGAGCAAACAGGAUUAGAUACCCUGGUACUCCACGCCGUAAACGAUGAUUGCUAGUUGUCGGGAUGCAUGCAUUUCGG